AUUUUCUGGUGACUCAAAUUUUUUUGGGGAGAGGCUAUUUAGAGUCUAAGCAAUCAAAGCCUUGAGCCUUGAGGGGGAUGCAAUAGAAUAUGCUUUGAAAAAUAGAAUGCAUAACAAUAAGAGAAAGGUUAAAUAAACUCAGGCAUGAAAGACUGUGCAGUGGUUAAAAAAGUAGAUAUAUAGUAAGAUCUUUGAGAUGUUCUGGUGAGUGAAGAAAACAAGAGGAAUAAAUUAAAAAAAUUCAAUCCUGUUUAUAUAAAAACAAAAAUCCAACUUUCUUCCAAAUGCAUGUGGUGAAACUGUACCCAAAAGGUCAGAAAGAUGCCAUACUCAACUGGUGAUGCCAACCAGGCCAUGCACUUUAUUCUGUUAAAGUUUCAAGAGAUAAUGUAACUAGAAAAAAACAAAACAAAAAACCCCCACUUGGUUUGAAAAUCUAGGAUCUGAAUCCUUCUCUUACUUGGGCCUUGGGUCUGCUGGUGGCUAGAUUGCCUGUGGUGACUGGCUCAGUCCUAAUGAAGAGCAAUGGGACUGACAUUGAAAUUGAACUUGAAGGAGCCAAGUCCCAGCUCACCAUGGACACUUUAGGCUUCCAGCAAACUAGUAAGUGCUCCAAGUCUCACAGAGUACUGUGAGUAUUAAACAAGAAAACCUAUGAAUGUGUUUUGCAAAAGUUAAAAUGGGAGAGAAAUGUAGAGAUAUUAAAGUAUAAUUUGCUGUUACAUUCUUGCCUUAUCUCUUAAAGUGAAAGUGGGCUAAGGGAGAAAGGACACUGGAAGCUUAUUAUAGGACAGCCAAUGUCCUAAGCAUGUCUCAUGCAUUGCAUACCUGCAACCACAUCCUAUAAAGUAGAUACCACUAUGAUAAUCUCCAUCUCACUGUUGAGAAGCUGAAAGUUUUGGUAAUUUCCCAUAGUCAUUCAGCUGGCAGGCUGAAGUGGUAACUUGAACCCAGACCCUCUACUCAAG
rnacentral:lncRNA from 1 species